rnacentral:rRNA from 1 species
AACGAACGCUGGCGGCAUGCCUAACACAUGCAAGUCGAACGAGAUCUUCGGGUCUAGUGGCGCACGGGUGCGUAACGCGUGGGAAUCUGCCCUUUGGUUCGGAAUAACAGUUGGAAACGACUGCUAAUACCGGAUGAUGACGAAAGUCCAAAGAUUUAUCGCCAGAGGAUGAGCCCGCGUAGGAUUAGCUAGUUGGUGUGGUAAAGGCGCACCAAGGCGACGAUCCUUAGCUGGUAUGAGAGGAUGAUCAGCCACACUGGGACUGAGACACGGCCCAGACUCCUACGGGAGGCAGCAGUGGGGAAUAUUGGACAAUGGGCGAAAGCCUGAUCCAGCAAUGCCGCGUGAGUGAUGAGGGCCUUAGGGUUGUAAAGCUCUUUUACCCGGGAUGAUAAUGACAGUACCGGGAGAAUAAGCUCCGGCUAACUCCGUGCCAGCCGCCGCAGUAA